UACGUAGGCAUCAAGCGUUGUUCGGAAUUACUGGGCGUAAAGAGUGUGUAGGCGGUGCUCUAAGUUUGGUGUGAAAUCUCCCGGCUCAACUGGGAGGGUGCGCCGAAAACUGGAAUGCUUGAACGUGGGAGAGGAAAGCGGAAUUCCUGGUGUAGCGGUGAAAUGCGUAGAUAUCAGGAGGAACACCUGCGGUGUAGACGGCUUUCUGGACCAUUGUUGACACUGAGACACGAAAGCGUGGGUAGCAAACAGG
rnacentral:rRNA from 1 species